GCCUGGCUAGCUCAGUUGGUAGAGCAUGUGACUGUUGAUCCCAGGGUCAUGGGUUCAAACCCCAUGCUGGGUG